AGAGUUUGAUCCUGGCUCAGAUUGAACGCUGGCGGUAUGCUUAACACAUGCAAGUCGAACGGAAACGAUGGUAGCUUGCUACCAGGCGUCGAGUGGCGGACGGGUGUGUAACGCGUAGGAAUCUGCCUGAUAGUGGGGGAUAGCCCAGAGAAAUCUGGAUUAAUACCACAUAAUCUCUAUGGAGUAAAGGAGCCCUCUUCUUGAAAGGUUUCGCUAUCAGAUGAGCCUGCGUAAGAUUAGCUUGUUGGUGAGGUAAAAGCUCACCAAGGCGACGAUCUUUAGCUGGUCUGAGAGGAUGAUCAGCCACACUGGAACUGAGACACGGUCCAGACUCCUACGGGAGGCAGCAGUGGGGAAUAUUGGACAAUGGGCGCAAGCCUGAUCCAGCAAUACCGCGUGUGUGAAGAAGGCCUGAGGGUUGUAAA
rnacentral:rRNA from 1 species